GAGAUUUAUUAUGUGGAGGUAAUUAAAGCUAUAUUAUGUAUAAUGGGUGUUUUAUUAAUUAAGUAAAAUUAAUUAUAUUAAAUUAUAAAGAAAAGUAAUGUAAGUGAAUUUGGUAAAAUUUAGGAAAGGAGAUUUAAUUUAUCGUACCUUUUGUUUCAGGGAUUAUUAAAUUAUAUUUUUAGUAAAUAAGAAUUCUCGAAUUUGAAAGAGCUAGUAAUGUAUGGAGGUUAAUGUAUAAUAAUUAUCUCAAAUAGAUUAUUAGUGGAGAUAUUUUAGUCAUUUUUAAAGAUAUCUAGUUUUUUUUGACUAAAUUUAAUUUAGAUAGAAUAGUUAAAAAUAAUUUACAUUAAUAUAGUUAUUUUUACAUUCUGCGAAUAAUUUAUGGGAUAAACUAUAGAUUUUAUUAAAAUAUUUAGAUUGAGGAAAUUUUUUAGAAUAUUUAUGAAAUUUGAAAUUAAUAGAAAAAAUUUAAUAAUUUAUAAAAUUGAUUUAAUCAUUUAGAGAUUUAAUAAUUAUUAAAAUUUAAUAAGUAAAAAAAAUAUUAGUUGAAAUUAGUUUUAAUGAAUUAAUAAUGAUAGUAUUAGUAUAAAAAUAUUUUUGUAUAAGCAGUUUUAUAGGAGGAGAGAAUAUUAAUUUAAGGAAUUCGGCAAAUUUAUUAAGUUUCAACUGUUUAAUAAAAACAUAGCCUUUUGAUAAUAAUUUAAGGUUGUUUCUGCCCCCUGAGUAUUUUAAAUGGCCGCAGUAUUUUGACUGUGCUAAGGUAGCAUAAUCAGUUGUUUUUUAAUUGAAAACGUGUAUGAAAGAAUGAAUGAGAACUAGGCUGUCUCAAGUUAAAAAUUUAGAAUUUAUAUUUUAAGUAAAAAUUCUUAAAUAUUUUUAUGGGACGAGAAGACCCUAUAGAAUUUUAAAUAAAUUUUUUUAAAUUUUUUGUUAAUUGUGAUUUAGAAAUUUUAUUUUUAGUUGGGAGGAUGGUUAAAUUAUUAAAACUUUAAUUAGAUAAGGUUACUUUUGAGUAAUUUAAAGAAUGAUAAAAAUAUUAAAGAAGAAUUAAUUACCUUAGGGAUAACAGCGUAAUAUUUUUGGAAAGUUCUUAUUAAUAAAAAUGAUUGCGACCUCGAUGUUGAAUUAAGAUAAAAAUUAAGUGGAGAAGCUUAAUAUUUAAGUCUGUUCGACUUUUGAAAUCUUACAUGAUUUGAGUUUAGACCGGUGUGAGCCAGGUCGGUUUCUAUCUAUGAUAAAAUUAAAAAUAUUUGUACGAAAGGACUUUAUUUUUAUAAUAAUUAUUUAAAAAUUUUAAUAAAAUAUAAUUUGUGUAAUUAUUUUGGCAGAGUAGUGCAUUAAAUUUAGAAUUUAAUAUAAAAUAU
rnacentral:rRNA from 1 species